rnacentral:rRNA from 1 species
AUGCAUCGUCCCCCUCCUCCUCCCGUGGCAUCUUGGCUGCUACUCCUGCCUCCCUUCGUCUUCCUCUGCCUCCAGAACCAGAUCGCCCCCUCCGCCGACCCGCCUCCAGAUCGGAGCAAAGCGGCCCCCUGUUUGCUUCGCGGCACCAGAUCAGCAUUCCCAUUAGGAGAAGCAAUGUCGGCAGUAAUCACAAAGUUCGCCGUCACAUCUAUGGUGAUGUGGAUGGCCCCAGUUGCAAUCAUGUAUGGGUUUAUCUACCAGAUUUUUCCAGGUGUCGGUCAGCUUUCCCCCUCGGCGCAAACCAUGGCCAGUGGAUUCCUUGCUGUCAUCUCGGUCAAUCUAGUGAUCGGCUUUUACAUAUACAUGGCCAUGAAGGAGACUCCCCAUCAAGAGCCCCAGCCUGAUCCAACCUUUCUGGCAAACGCCAAAGCAAGCAUUAACCAGCCAACUUCUUCUCAAGUGAGUGAUGAUUCCCAUGGGAAGGGGAAGGUCGAGUAG